rnacentral:rRNA from 1 species
UACGUAGGGAGCAAGCGUUGUCCGGAAUUAUUGGGCGUAAAGAGCUCGUAGGCGGCUUGUCACGUCGGAUGUGAAAGCCCGGGGCUUAACUCCGGGUCUGCAUUCGAUACGGGCUGGCUAGAGUGUGGUAGGGGAGAUCGGAAUUCCUGGUGUAGCGGUGAAAUGCGCAGAUAUCAGGAGGAACACCGGUGGCGAAGGCGGAUCUCUGGGCCAUUACUGACGCUGAGGAGCGAAAGCGUGGGGAGCGAACAGG